CCUACGGGGGGCAGCAGUGGGGAAUAUUGCACAAUGGGGGAAACCCUGAUGCAGCGACGCCGCGUGAGUGAAGAAGUAUUUCGGUAUGUAAAGCUCUAUCAGCAGGGAAGAAAAUGACGGUACCUGAGUAAGAAGCCCCGGCUAACUACGUGCCAGCAGCCGCGGUAAUUCGUAGGGGGCAAGCGUUAUCCGGAUUUACUGGGUGUAAGGGGAGCGUAGACGGCAGCGCAAGUCUGAAGUGAAAUCCAGUGGCUCAACCAUGGAACUGCAUUGGAAACUGUGCGGCUGGAGUGCAGGAGAGGUAAGCGGAAUUCCUAGUGUAGCGGUGAAAUGCGUAGAUAUUAGGAGGAACACCAGUGGCGAAGGCGGCUUACUGGACUGUAACUGACGUUGAGGCUCGAAAGCGUGGGGAGCAAACAGGAUUAGAUACCCCAGUAGUC
rnacentral:rRNA from 1 species